rnacentral:lncRNA from 10 species
GCCCGGCACGGUGGCUCAUGCCUGUAAUCCCAGCACUUUGGGAGGCCGAGGCGGGCAGAUCACGAGGUCAGGAGUUCGAGACCAGCCUGGCCAACAUGGUGAAACCCCGUCUUUACUAAAAAUACAAAAAUUAGCCAGGCAUGGUGGGUGCCUGUAAUCACAGCUACUAAGGAGGCUGAGGUAGGAGAAUCACUUGAACCCAGGAGGCUAAAUUUUGUAUUUUUAGUAGAGAUGGAGUUUUGCCAUGUUGGCCAGGCUGGUCUCGAACUCCCGACCUCAGGUGAUCCACCUGUCU